UUGUCUCAAAGAUUAAGCCAUGCAUGUCUCAGUACAAGCCAUAAAUAAGGUGAAACCGCGAAAGGCUCAUUAAAUCAGUUAUGGUUCCUUAGAUCGUACCACAUUUACUUGGAUAACUGUGGUAAUUCUAGAGCUAAUACAUGCAAACAGAGCUCUAACCGGAGACGGAAGGAGUGCUUUUAUUAGAUCAAAACCAAUUGUGACGUCACUGGGCUCCAUAUAGACUUCUGUAUCUUUGCGUACGUUUCUAUAUGUCCUGGUGUUUGCGUUCACACACAAAUACUGGUGAAUCUGAAUAACUUGCUGAUCGCAUGGUCUAGUACCGGCGACGCAUCUUUCAAAUGUCUGCCUUAUCAACUUUCGAUGGUAGGAUCUGCGCCUACCAUGGUUGUAACGG
rnacentral:rRNA from 1 species